GACGAACGCUGGCGGCGUGCUUAACACAUGCAAGUCGAACGGAAAGGCCCUGCUUUUGUGGGGUGCUCGAGUGGCGAACGGGUGAGUAACACGUGAGUAACCUGCCCUUGACUUUGGGAUAACUUCAGGAAACUGGGGCUAAUACCGGAUAGGAGCUCCUGCUGCAUGGUGGGGGUUGGAAAGUUUCGGCGGUUGGGGAUGGACUCGCGGCUUAUCAGCUUGUUGGUGGGGUAGUGGCUUACCAAGGCUUUGACGGGUAGCCGGCCUGAGAGGGUGACCGGCCACAUGGGGACUGAGAUACGGCGCAGACUCCUACGGGGGGCAGCAGUGGGGAAUAUUGCACAAUGGUCGGAAGCCUGAGGCAGCAACGCCGCGUGCGGGAUGACGGCCUUCGGGUUGUAAACCGCUUUCGCCUGUGACGAAGCGUGAGUGACGGUAAUGGGUAAAGAAGCACCGGCUAACUACGUG
rnacentral:rRNA from 1 species